AUCCAACUGACGAGUCCCAAACAGGACGAAAAGCGCGUCCUGGAU
rfam:Schistosoma mattheei strain Denwood, Zambia genome assembly, scaffold: SMTD_contig0001419